rnacentral:misc_RNA from 1 species
GCCAGGUUGGCCAUAGCUCAAAUGAUUUUAUCUUAAUAUUUUUACUUUUCAGUUGAAUGAAGAUUUUCAAAAAUGUUCAACACUGAAAUGCACUGUGCAUACUAGCUUACAAAAAGAAAAUAAAUACAAUUCACCAACGCUAUGUUUCUUGAGAUUACUCUUACUUCUUCACUUCUACUGUAUUCCGUCCACAGCAACAUUCUUUUAAUAACAUGGAUUAUGGUUUCCUAAUCUAUCUUCUGUAAGUAUGUUUGGCUUCAAUGUUGGAUCUUGUCAGUUACAUUACAAUUUGCUGCAAGAAACAAAACAAUUGAGUACACAUCAGCCAAACAGAUGAAUUUAUAAUUACCUACGAUUUAAAUAACAAUGAUCGCAUUCUUUGCCAUAGGCUACU